rnacentral:sRNA from 1 species
UAUUAUGACUACAGCAGAUGGCCCAUUUUGAAACUUGCGUUGAGGAGGCUGCAGAAGUGUUGAGUGCUGAGGUAUACCCCUAUGUUUUCAUCCGAUUGCUUUCUGCUAUUAUAGGAAUGGGACGCGAGAGAUAAAGAUUCUAUCCGACGAGUAGUACAACACAGCAAUGUGGUCAUCAAUCUUAUUGGACGAGACUGGGAAACCAAAAACUAUGAUUUUGAGGAUGUUUUUGUGAAGAUUCCCCAAGCAAUUGCUCAACUGUCCAAGGAAGCUGGAGUUGAAAAAUUCAUUCAUGUUUCACAUCUGAAUGCGAAUAUUAAAAGCUCUUCUAGAUAUUUGAGAAAUAAGGUAUGCAUCGAUUUGGUCCUAUACCCCUUGGUUCCUUGGGCUGGAAGACAGUUAAACAACCAGUAUAUGUCGUAGAUGUAUCCAAAGGAAUUGUUAAUGCAGUUAAGGAUCCUGAUGCCAACGGGAAAUCCUUUGCUUUCGUUGGUCCCAGUCGGUACCUCCUUUUCCACCUGGUGAAGUACAUCUUUGCUGUGGCUCACAGAUUGUUCCUCCCAUUCCCCUUGCCACUUUUUGCCUAUCGAAGAAAGUAUGAAAUUAGCUCUGAGGCAACAAGAAAAUGUGAACAGCACACUGAAGAGGGCGAAAGAUGAAGUACGCCCUGUUCUAAAGGCAAUGGAAACCAAGGUGAAUGAGACAAAGAAGCACAAAACCCAAAUGAAACUCUUCCCACACUCACAGCUUUUCAGGCAAUGGGGCGAGGAUCUUUCUGAGGCCCAGCAGAAGGCGGCCCAGGACCUCUUCCGGAAGUUUGGUUACAACGCGUACCUCAGCAACCAGCUGCCUCUCAAUCGCACC